rnacentral:misc_RNA from 1 species
GGAUGAGAAGGUAGCAGUUUUGCAAGUUUUUUGGGGUGACUGUUCAGAGGAGCUUGUAAUCAAAGCUCAUCAGGCUGGAGUCAAGGUUGCUCCCCAAGUUGGGAGCUUUGAAGAUGCUAAAAAAGCCAUCAGUGUUGGUGUCGAUGCAAUUAUUGUCCAAGGACGCGAAGCCGGAGGGCAUGUCAUUGGUCAGGAAAGCUUAAUUUCACUGUUGCCAAGGGUAGUUGAUCUUGUUAGCGAUCAUGAUAUGCCCGUAAUUGCUGCUGGUGGUAUUGUAGAUGCCCGUGGCUAUGUUGCUGCUCUGGCCCUUGG